rnacentral:lncRNA from 1 species
CGGACUGAGUUGACCAUAAACCAAAUCGGACUGGUUCAACCCGAUUCUGGCUCCAGUUUACUGUUUUAAAAAUCCAAGCCAAACUGGACCGAACCAGUUAUUUCUUAAGUAUAUAGUUUUUAAAAAUUAUUUAAAUAUGCUAUAUUAUGGUUGGUUGGUGCACCAAUUCUACAUUCUUUGAAUAGAAAGGGCUGCACAUAACCUCACCCUAUUUAUCCUUUUAGUUUCUAA